rnacentral:rRNA from 1 species
UACAGAGGUCUCAAGCGUUGUUCGGAAUUACUGGGCGUAAAGGGUGCGCAGGCCGCGCGGGCAGUCAAAUGUGUAAUCCAGGGGCUCAACCCCUGAACUGCGCUUGAUACUUCCGCGCUCGAGCUUUGGAGAGGAGUCUGGAAUUCUCGGUGUAGCAGUGAAAUGCGUGGAUAUCGAGAGGAACACCAGAGGUGAAGACGGGUUGCUGGGCCGACACUGACGCUGACAGCGCGAAAGCCAGGGGAGCAAACGGG